CUGCUGUAUCAGAAGGAACAAGCAUCUUCGCUGGAUUUGUCAUAUUCGCUACCCUUGGCGUCAUGUCGGAGAAGACUGGUGUUUCUAUUUCAAAAGUGGUUUCCAGUGGUCCAGGAUUGGCCUUUGUUGUGUAUCCAGAAGCUUUAUUCCAACUUCCAAUGCCACAAGUCUGGUCAUUUCUAUUCUUCCUGGUGUUGCUUACAGCCGGACUUGAUUCACAGUUUAUGAAUAUUGAGGUCCUUACAACAGCCAUGGUAGACAAAUAUCCGGCCGCUUUAACCAAAAGACGCCAUCUUGUGACAGCCGGUGUGUGCGGGAUAAGCUUCUUGCUUGGGAUUGUA